GCAAUCCAAUGUAGAGAGCAACAUUUAUUUGUUAUUGGAGAGGUGUAAUACCCUUAUUGCCCUUGUAGCUUAUUCAAAAAAAAAAAAAGUGUUGUUGAAAAGGAGAGAAAGAGAGUGUAUGUUUACGUGCGAGCGUGUGGGAUCGAGGAGAGGGCUUACAUGAAAAUGGGAGGGAUAGUUGAGUAGCCAAGGAUGACUUGCCUGCUUCUUAGUGCAGUGAUCGAGGGUCGUCGAUCUGUUUCUGAUCGACACUCGCUCUCUAUGAGGUGUCAGGCAGUCUCCUUGGCUAUCUUAACGGCCUCCUAUGUCUCUCAUGCUAGCCCCCCGGCCUCUCGACUCUUCUUUCGUCUAAUGGCCAAAUUUAAACAACAUUUUGUCUCACAAUUAUUAAACUCAAGAAAUGGUUCAGGCCAAGAAAGUGACGAACUAGUCUGGUGAAGUAUACGGGCCGGGCCAUCAACAACUAUCCGAAACCCAAGAUAGUGAAGUACUCCAAAGUCAAAAGUGGUUUUCAAGAGAUGCAAACGGGUCAAUCUGAUCCAAUGUUCUCGGUGUAUAUUAUUGGGUUACAAACUCAAAUGAAGCCGAAAUUUUGGCCAUAA